rnacentral:rRNA from 1 species
UAAACUUAAUUAAUAAAUUAAAACUUUUAACAACGGAUCUCUUGGUUCUGGCAUCGAUGAAGAACGCAGCGAAAUGCGAUAAGUAAUGUGAAUUGCAGAAUUCAGUGAAUCAUCGAAUCUUUGAACGCACAUUGCGCCCCCUGGUAUUCCGGGGGGCAUGCCUGUUCGAGCGUCAUUUCACCACUCAAGCCUCGCUUGGUAUUGGGCAACGCGGUCCGCCGCGUGCCUCAAAUCGACCGGCUGGGUCUUCUGUCCCCUAAGCGUUGUGGAAACUAUUCGCUAAAGGGUGUUCGGGAGGCUACGCCGUAAAACAACCCCAUUUCUAAGGUUGACCUCGGAUCAGGUAGGGAUACCCGCUGAACUUAAGCAUAUCAAUAAGCGGAGGA